rnacentral:tRNA from 1 species
GGGGCCGUAGCUCAGUUGGGAGAGCGCUGCGUUCGCAAUGCAGAGGUCGUCGGUUCGAUCCCGAUCGGCUCCACAA